AAGGACGCGAUAUUACGAGAACGACUGAGGAGCUUGUGUGUGUGGGAACUGAUCAACGGAAGACCAGAAGCCAGGAUCAGGAACCUCAUCAUCCCUCGUCAGAGGAGGAGUCGGCUUCGUAAAGGAAUGAAGUAAGAGGCGCGAGGUGUGUCUCCACCGGUUUGAUGGUUGGAGCCACCCGCUGAUCGUGUUGUCAGAGGCGCGAGGUGUGUGCCCGCCGUCUGACGUGUGGACCCAGUCAGCUGACCGUGUUGCCAGAGACGUGACGAGAGAAGGUUGCCACCAUCGGAAAUUUCCACCUGAUUAUUUCCCUAUACAAGUGUAUAUAUUUUUCUUCAGUAAAUUUUUAAUCUUACCUAUUUGUUUGAGUGAGCCUCCAUUCUCAAGGGCCAUUUUGAGUGAAACCAUUGAUAUCACCUUGCACUGCACUUGAGAUUGCAUCCUUAAAUUAAGAUAACUAAUGAGACUACUGACGUGUUGUUGGGACACGAGUAUAAACACCCAGCUGCCGACCAGAUAUCAACGAGGGAGGGUCCCAGUGUCAAGACAGGACAAGUUCAGGUGUGUCACAGGUAGAUUUGAACCUCUCCACUCGCUAGGGGUAUAUAUAAGGCCAGCCCUUAGUUGACUGGGGGUGCCCCAGGGUGAGCAGUGGCGCUUGGUACUGAGGGGCGAAGACCCGUGGGACGACCCCAACCAUAGGUAGGAAGGGGUGAACCUUGACAUUAAACAUAAUGAAAUGAAUAGCUCAUAAGAAAAAAAUGGAAAAUUAUAUUAAUUUAGGAAAACUUGGCUUAUUAGGCUAAUCAGGCCUUGCAUAGUAGGCCGAGUACUGUAUUCUGGCUAUUAGCUACUACAUAUAUAUUGUGACGGUGUCCCACCCCUAUAUUUCUCCUAACCUAGCUCAAAGAGUCAUAUCUCCAUAACCAGAGCGUUCUAUGAUAUUCAGGGAACAUUUUCAUAUGUGUGAGUGUGUGAAGCGUUAUCACGUUGGCUGUAAAAUUGCCAUUUAAGUUUGAUUAUGCAAGGGGCUUACGCCCUUUUGAGUCACAAGAUGGCGCCGGGCCACUCUGUUUCCCGCCAAAGCAUCGCGGCACCUGAUUAGCCAGGCAGGGUCACGUGCUGGAAGUGACCACUGACGAGAGCCCUCUGGCUGUGUGACGUCAUGAGGCGGAGGACUCCUGGGGUGGCUGACGCUCGGGUGGGCAGAGUACGUCACAGACCAUCACAGAAUGUGGGCGCGCUCUAGUGAGCUCCGGAUCUAGAGGCUAGAAAGCCCCUACCAGUGGAUUUAAGCAUCGCUUUGAUACUGCGAACAUUCUGGGAGAUCACUCGACUUCCGUGGAGGGCCCUGAAGCAAGGAUUGGUCGGGUUAGAGUCAGUAGCUCUGUUAUCAAGAGUCUACAGCAAGUACGAACGUUGGGCUGUAGACGUCUGGGACGCCCAGCGGACCUCAUUCUACAUAUCAAGCGAGUAGCGACGGCCGGGCCAAAUCUACUGGAAGUGAGGAAAGGAGAAGCUGUACUGGACUGCAAGUUGUGUCUACAGUGCCAGUGAGAGGAGGAAGAGGACGACGGUGCAGGUACCUGACUCCAGCACCCCCGAAGAAGAAGCGGAGGAGGACCGUGACUGCCGGGUGUUAGGACGGCAAAGACGCACUACCACAAGGACGACUGAGGAACUUGUGUGUGUGUGGGAAACUGAUCAACGGAAGACCAGAAGCCAGGACCAGGAACCUCAACAUCCCUCGCCAGAGGACGAGUCGGCUUCGUAACGGAAUAAAGUAAGGUAGAUAAUUAUCCCUCCCUUUACUCCUUUGAUCUAGACGAGCUAGGAUACUCUGUAUAUCGUGAACAUUUUGUGUUACCAUUUAUUGUCUAUGUGACAGAGUGUUAGGCAAGGAGCCAAGGAGCUCAUGUAGACAUGAGUUGGUGUGUGUGAGCAUCAAUGUGUUGAUGCAGUGACGUUAGUGUAUCUGGAAAUAGUGGCUGGUUUUUCAAGAGGUCAGAAACGAACUUUGAAUUGUCCAGCUGAUCGUGUUGCCAGAGGCUCGAGGUGUAUCGCUGUCGACUGACAGUUGGACGCAAUCAGCUGAUCGUGUUGCCAGAGGUGCGAGGUGUAUCACCACAGACUGACAGUUGGACCCGACUAGCUGACCGUGUUGCCAGAGGCAUGACGAGAGGAGUGUUGCAGCCAUCGGACAAUUCCACCUAUAUUAUUUCCUUAUACAAGUUUAUAUGUUUUCUUCAGUAAACUUUUAAUCUUAA